rnacentral:rRNA from 1 species
UACGAAGGGGGCUAGCGUUGCUCGGAAUUACUGGGCGUAAAGCGCUCGUAGGCGGAUUGUUAAGUCGGGGGUGAAAUCCUGGAGCUCAACUCCAGAACUGCCUUCGAUACUGGCGAUCUCGAGUUCGGGAGAGGUGAGUGGAACUGCGAGUGUAGAGGUGAAAUUCGUAGAUAUUCGCAAGAACACCAGUGGCGAAGGCGGCUCACUGGCCCGAUACUGACGCUGAGGUGCGAAAGCGUGGGGAGCAAACAGG